rnacentral:rRNA from 1 species
UACAGAGGGUGCGAGCGUUAAUCGGAAUUACUGGGCGUAAAGCGUGCGCAGGCGGUUGUGCAAGACAGAUGUGAAAUCCCCGGGCUUAACCUGGGAAUGGCAUUUGGGACUGCAAGGCUCGAGUGCGGCAGAGGAGACUGGAAUUCCUGGUGUAGCAGUGAAAUGCGUAGAGAUGUGGAGGAACACCAGUGGCGAAGGCGACUCUUUGGCCUGUAACUGACGCUGAGGCGCGAAAGCGUGGGGAGCAAACAGG